GGAAAUGAUUGUGUUGUUGUUAUUUUUCUUUUGCUUGCGGGAUGCCAUCACUUCUUGUGUUCCUAUGAUUGUUAGAUUUAGUUUUACUGUUUUGUUUGUUUGUGGCAUAUUAUAUUGAGGAUUGUAGUUGAAUCUAGUGUCAAAGUUUAUAUGUUGCCUUGGUUGCUUUAAGUUGUUCUUCUUGCUGCACUGAUGUUUGAACUUGAAUAUAAGCGCUUUAAAGUCUUGAAUGAUUCACCUGUUGUUCAUGUUAGUUGGAGAAUUAAAUCAAAGCCAAGAUUGAAUUAUCAUGUUUAUUUGUGUUUUUUCUUCCGUUAGAUUCCUUAAACUCCCUGUUAUGACUUUUUAUUAUUAUUUCACCAUACCACCAUUUAGCCUCCUAGUGAGUGGUGUUUAAUUCUAUUUAUUAUCAUUAAACUUGGAAGAAAUAAAGAGUUGCAGAAGAAGGACAGUUGUUAAAACACGUCCAGGAUUUUGUUUUGUUUUUGUCUGCAGCUUACUUAUUACCAUUAAGACGAGUUUUGUGGUAUAUGUACUAGUCAUUGUUAUUAUUGGGGUCUAAUUCAAAUUAGCCUAUGAGGCCUAAGUCACGUAACCUCCAUUUCUAGAAUUAGUCUUAUUUUGACAGUGUUUUUUUUUAGGAUUAUCAUUUAUGGUUAUUAUUAUAACAAAUCUAGAUGAGAAGCGUUUCUUUUUUUAUCAUGUUAGUUUAGUUAAUAAUGUCAUCUCUAUAAUAUAAAAAUAUUGUAAAUAAAUAUUAAGUUAUGGUGUUUUGGUAAAAUUGGGUUGUAAUUAUAUUCUUUCUAUUUUAAUUCUUUCUCCUUAAAUUAUAAUAAAUUAAUUAAUUAAAUUUUGAUCAAAUAAUUAAUUGCUAUUAAUUAAUUUUAAUUAAUCCAAUUAUUUGAUUUAAUUAAAUAAUUCUAAUAAUUAAUUUUAAUUAACUUAAUUAAUCGAUCUAAUCAAAGUUUAAUAAAUUAAUUAAAAAUUGGUCAAUUUCUUUCAAAUAUCACAAUUUCGUACCAUUUCACAAUACAAAUUCAAUUUCAUUCCAUUUCCUCAUUAAUUCAAAACCAUGAUAAAAUCACUCAAAAUCACACAAUUCUUGAUUCAAUAUCGAGACCAUUUCCAUACCCUUGUAAGUCGAUCGCUUUUAAGCAUCGCCAUCAACCUCACAUAACUUACUCUUGGGCUUUCUUACAAUGAGACCUAUUC
rnacentral:lncRNA from 1 species